rnacentral:lncRNA from 10 species
AGGGGAAGCCGCGUGGUGUGCGACCCUGGGCGUUGAGCUCCAGGCUUCCUGGCAAAGAGGACUGUGGAUUCCUGGCCCUGUGACCUUGGGCAAAAAAUGAGGAAGAUUCAUAAGUAAGUUAACACAGAAUUACCAAAAACCUCAUGAGAAAGAAAUGAAGGGAUGUUUCAGGGUAGCUUUUCGAGUCCCAAGUGAUCAUUGAUUUGGCCCUUCUGUUUCUGAUUGUGAAAAAGCAUUCUGAAAGAAUGGGCGCCGGUUCAAGAGGAGGUCUCUGAGGGUCAGCCUUUGGCUGUUUAUAGAGAAAUCAGAUAAAAACUACUUGGUGAAAUGACUUCUUGUCACAUUGCUGAAGAACAUAUACAAAAGGUUGCUAUCUUUGGAGGAACCCAUGGGAAUGAGCUAACCGGAGUAUUUCUGGUUAAGCAUUGGCUAGAGAAUGGCGCUGAGAUUCAGAGAACAGGGCUGGAGGUAAAACCAUUUAUUACUAACCCCAGAGCAGUGAAGAAGUGUACCAGAUAUAUUGACUGUGACCUGAAUCGCAUUUUUGACCUUGAAAAUCUUGG